rnacentral:sRNA from 1 species
GAUUUGGGGUUUGGAGUCCAAGUCAAAGGUCAUGUAUUCUAGAAGGACAAUUGAAGGAACCGAUGGAACAAGUUGGUUCUUGAGUCACAUGACUCCCUGGGGAAUCUCCCAGAAUCACCCACCUGAAGUUGCCAUUUCUGAACUGUCAGUAUCAUCGCUCUUGAGCUGUGAAGUCAUCGUUAAGUAAAAUAAGGGGUUACCCAAACAUAGCGCUUUGCUACUAUGACAACUGGGCUGAUAGCCAAGACAAUUAUUGGGUGAGUAAAAGGUGGCCAGAGGUUGAAGCCACGUCCUGUAAGAGAUGAUUUAGUUAGAGAUGAGAUCUUGUCACACAAUUGAGAGGAGCAUACGACUGAAAACGUAUGAAGUGUUUAUUUCUAGAGCUUUCCGUCUAAGGCUUUUGAACUUCAGCCAACCAUGAAACCACUGAAACCUCAGGAAGAAAAAUUUCGGGAGCGUGGGAGGCUGUUGUACCGUCACCAUAUUUCACAAAUCAUUGACUUACUUCACAGGCAAGUUUCGUUUGCUCAAAGCACUGCUUUAUGACUGUCACCUUCUCCAUGGAGACCCCCCACUUCUCAUCAACAGCUGCCCCUCCUCCACCCACCCACUCUCCCACUGCUAUUUGGAGUUGAAAGCUGUUCACGUUUCUAAAACCCGAUUUCUUGA